rnacentral:rRNA from 1 species
UUAGUAACUGCGAGUGAAGCGGGAAAAGCUCAAAUUUGAAAUCUGGCAGUCUUUUUUUUCUUCUUUGGCUGUCCGAGUUGUAAUCUAGAGAAGUGCUUACCUGCACUGGACCAUGUAUAAGUCUCCUGGAAUGGAGCGUCGCAGAGGGUGAGAAUCCCGUCUUUGACAUGGACUGCCAGUGUGUUGUGGUGUGCUCUCAAAGAGUCGAGUUGUUUGGGAAUGCAGCUCUAAAUGGGUGGUAAACUCCAUCUAAAGCUAAAUAUUGGCGAGAGACCGAUAGUGAACAAGUACCGUGAGGGAAAGAUGAAAAGGACUUUGGAAAGAGAGUUAAACAGUAUGUGAAAUUGUUGAAAGGGAAACGCUUGAAGUCAGUUAUGUUGGCUAGGGAUCAACCUAGCUACUUUUGCUGGGUGAAUUUCCUAGUCUUACAGGCCAACAUCAGUCUUGACUGCUAGAAAAGAGCAGAGGGAAUGUGGCACCUUUGGGUGUGUUAUAGCCCUUUGUCAUAUGUGGCAGUUGGGACUGAGGGAUGCAGCAUGCCGCGAGGCUGGGUUUCUGACCACGUUCAUGCUUAGGAUGUUGGCUUUUAAUGGCUUCAAUCGACCCGUCUUGAAACACGGACCAAGGAGUCUAACAUGCCUGCGAGUGUUUGGGUGGGGAAAACCCUUGUGCACAAUGAAAGUGAAAGUUGAGAUCCCUGUCAUGGGGAGCAUCGACGCCCGGACUUGAGCUUUUAGCGACGGAUCCGCGGUAGAGCAUGCAUGUUGGGACCCGAAAGAUGGUGAACUAUGCCUGAAUAGGGCAAAGCCAGAGGAAACUCUGGUGGAGGCUCGUAGCGAUUCUGACGUGCAAAUCGAUCGUCAAAUUUGGGUAUAGGGGCGAA